rnacentral:rRNA from 1 species
UACGGAGGGUGCAAGCGUUGUCCGGAUUUAUUGGGUUUAAAGGGUGCGUAGGCGGCUUUGUAAGUCAGUGGUGAAAUAUGGCAGCUCAACUGUCAAGGUGCCAUUGAUAUUGCGGAGCUUGAGUACAGAUGAGGUAGGCGGAAUUGACGGUGUAGCGGUGAAAUGCUUAGAUAUCGUCAAGAACACCUAUAGCGAAGGCAGCUUACUAGGCUGUAACUGACGCUGAGGCACGAAAGUGUGGGGAUCAAACAGG